GGAGGUAAAACUUGUUUUCGUGGCGGCAUUUGGAAAUUAGUUCAGAUCUUUUAUUUAGGAUUCUGUCGGGGUUUGCAGAUCGGAAGAACG